UAGGUUUUACAUAAAAUAUAACAUUGUGAAUGCUAUUUAUCAACAAUAAAGUAAUUUUAUCACAGUGAGAAAUAUGUAUUUAUUAAUAAAUAAAAAUAAAAUAGCAAUAUUUAUAUAUAUAUAUCAAAUUGUUGUUGGUUUCAAAAUCCUAGAAGUAUAUCAUUGUGUUACGCUAGGAUUGUUAUUGCAAUUCUUUGAGGCAUCCUAAUGGAAAGUGCAUUUAAAUUGAAGUUGCUGCAUAAUAUAUAUUAUUUUCAAGAAACAGACUUAAAACGUGUAAUUUUUCGUAGUCAAGCAUACAUAGAGAAAUUAUUGUAUGUGAUGUCAAAGUAUUAAUUUGAAAAUGUAAGUAAAUGAUCAUUGAGGUGUAGUCAUCUUUUAUGAUAAUCCUAUAAACCGGAAAAACUGCAAAAAUAGACUUGUUUUGUUCACUACUACAGUUCAGGCUAAUUUUCUUCUGCAUGUGAUUUGAAGCCCUCUCAAUAUUGAAAACACAAAAAAGACUGCCUAAUUUAACCUAGUUAUUGUUUAGUUCUUUGGGUUUUUUUAAGGAAAACGAAUCAUGCCAAAAGGUGGACAUAGGGUCUCGAAAUUGUUUCGCUCACUCUUACAAUGAAUGGUACAAAAUGACAAAUCUAAUCACGUGAUAUGUAGUAUAUUAGUCAAAAUCAAUAUGCAUGUAAAUAUUCAUUAUAAAAUGAUAAAUAAGAUUAAAAAAUGGAAAAAAAACACUUUAAUAAUUUAUUGCGUCCCAAAGCGCUUUCUGGAUUUACUUCAUGAAGGACGCUCAAAGACAACAUUUGAAAUCCGAAGAUGUAAAGUACCGAAAAUCGUUGAAGAGCUAUUAUAUGUCAAAAAUACCUAAAAUUAAUAGGCCAAUUCACUAAAGCCAAACUUUGCCUGAGGGAGUUGAAACCAUAGUUUCAAUAAUAAUUUCAAAAUUUAUAACGGAAAACUUUAGUAAGUUUGUUAAAUUCCAUGUCAGUACCGAAGCACUGACUACUGACUGAUGAACCCUCGGGGACUGAUAGUCCACCAGCAGAGGUAUCGACCCAGUGAUGUAUAAAAAAUGGAAAACAAACACGUUUUAAAUAAUUUAAUUGCGUCCGAAGUUAACAUGCUUUGUAUUUUUUUCUUCAACGUAGAAAACAAGUAAAACAAUAACAUUUAAAUGAACCUUCAUUUAUAAAAAAUCAAACGUAAUACAUUGCAUAGUUCAAUUGUUUUUAAUAUAACCUUACGAAUAUACGUAAACCAUGAUUGGCACUCUAUACUUAUUGAUAAAUACCUGCAUUUAUCUCACAUAAAUAUAUAAGUGAAACUGUACAUGAAAAAAUCUUAUAGACCUUUUUGGAGGAAAUAAGUAUAUCGUCGCUGGGCUUCCAAAAAUGUCGUAUAUGACUUUUUGGCUAAAAAUACUUUUUGACACCAAUGGUCUAGGUCGGAGGAAAUCUUUGGUUUUACAAAAUAGCAUACAGUUAGACCAAUCAAAACGCUUGAAAUAGGACAUAUUACAAAUUUGGCAAUGUCAGUUGUUUGUAAAGUUUGCUUGCAAAAUGUGGUAUGAAAUCUUGAAAAUCGUUUUAUAGUGGACUUUGGGAAUGAAAUAAUUGUAAUUUCUUUAUUUCUGUGAAAAUAAUUCAAGUUCUUGGAUAAUUCAGAAAUGUCAGUUUUUAAUUCACUGCUAUUUGCAAAAAUGUUCAAGUUCACCUACGACAUUUUGGAAGCAUGUAUUUUGUCAAAAUUUUCAAAGUCUGUUUGUUAGAUAUUUUUUUCUUGAUUUUUUUUAAUUUACAACGUCUUAGAAGCCCAGUGACGAUAUAUGUAAUAUAUGCAAGGGGAAUGCAUUUAUUAUAAUUAACAUUACGUAUCAUAUAGUAGAUUAACAAUAUGUAUUGAUUCGGAAUAUUUGCGGAGUAUACUUUCUUUUGACUUCAUAGCUUUUUUGGUAUUUAUCGUUAACAUGAUAACAAUAAAAGUAUGUGUGCAUAAAACAACUAGCUCUUCUCACACUUAUACAUUUUCCUGUUAAAUGAAACAAUAAAUCUGGGUUUUUGACCAUGGGAAAACAUCCGUUUAACAAAGUUCAAAUUAAAAUACCAUUAACAUAAACUUGAUUUUUCUACACAGUCAAUAUAUACAUUCAUAACAAACAAAAAACCUUUAUCCUGACAAUGGACGGACAUACGAUCAAUCCGGACAGAUAUAAUGAUCUCAACAAUUGACGGACAUACGAACAAUCCGGACAGAUAUAAUGAUCUCAACAAUUGCAAUAGUAUAAAUACUCAAAUAAAUCUGUUAUGUAAAAUGCUUCCAAUAAUAUUAAAACAGUAUGUCUGAAUAGCACUAAUCAUAUGGCACUUUAUUUCUAAAUUUUGUCUCACUUUUCCAUGGGAAAUUUUUUAAUUGUGUAUUUCAAAUUUUACUAUUCAAGAAACUAGUUUGAAAAAUAAAAAUACAAAACAUAUUUCAAAAAUCACUUGCAAGAUCCCUGAUUGAAGAUUUCCGAAAACACAUUUCGUUUAGAAAAUAAAUGACCUUCUAAAUAAUGAAUCGCAAAUAAAAGUAAUAGAUAUUUAUUGUAAUGACUAAAACUAACUGUAAGAUAUUAUAUAAAAAAUUGUGACAGGCGAAGGACUACNNNNNNNNNNNNNNNNNNNNNNNNNUACAAGAUACAUACUCGAGACUAAAACUGAUAAGUGUGUAAUGCUGUGACAAUUAUCACUCAACACAGAAACUUAACUCUAUUUUAGAUUUUAGCGAGUGUAUAUAUAUUCACGGAGUGUUACAUAGUUAAAGACUUUUUAUCCAUAUUACCCUCAAAAGAGGGGUGUUCCUAACAGAGGAAGCUUAUACGAAGAAAAAAGAUUACACAAAGAUAUUCUACAUUAUAUUUUUCAUUAAGAUGAAAAGAAUUACAAAUGAAUUACAUUCCUUUAUAAAAAUCUUUUAUUUCAUUAAAAAUCUAAACCGAUUGUUUAAUGAUCUAUACAACUAAAGAUGUCAGACUUCAAACACAAUUCGAGCUUGAAUAUACCAUGCCUCAUAAAACAUACAAAUUCAGUCCGUUUAAAGGGAAAAAAAUAAUAAAACUUCAAUUUCAUUAAGCUUCAUUGAUAACACGACUUCAACACCACUUGCCAUUAAAAAAAAUACUACCUCACUUUGACUUAACUUGGCCAAAUAGAAAUUAUCAUUCAAAUUGAUCCGACUUCAAAGAAAAUAAAAAAAAUUUUGAAGUAGCUCAACGGGCGGCUUCUUAGAAAAUACGACUUCAUUUUCACUUGGCAACUUCGAGCAUACGAAUUUAGUUUGACUUUGGAACUCCGAAAAAAGAAUGCAAAUUACCCUGGCUACAAAGAAAAUAUGACUUAAAUUGGACAUGACUUCGUAGAAAAUAUAAUAAUGCUUUGUUCAUUUUGUUAAAUUGAGAAAAACAAUAUCGACUUCACCUUGUUUGAUUGAAAAACAAUAUCGAUUUCACUUUGUUUGAUUGAAAAACAAACUCGAUUUCACUUUGUUUAAUUCAAAAAACAAUCUCGAUUUUAAAAGGUUUCAGAGAAAAUCAGUGAAAAUGUUAAGGACAAGACAAUAGUCUUCAACCCAUUCAUGUUUCAUAGAAAACACGACUACAACUUCACAUGCCUCCAUAAAAUGUUCGACCUCACUUGGAUUUGGCUUCUUAAAAAAUAAGACUAUGAAUAAUGACAACAAAAGCGUCUUCAAUCUCAGAGAAAUUAAUUGGAUUGUACCACCAUCGUCACUUGUUUCCAAAUGUAUUUUUAAAAAACGAAUCAAGAAAAAUCUAUUGGUACACUAAUUGUUUCAUACUGAAGGUCAGCUCCUCUUUGGCAAAUUCUAAACAUUUGUAUUUAUAAAAAAAAACGACAUGUUAGCAGACGAACAGAAUGGGUGCGCAUCGUUCAUGUGAAGACCAUUUUUACACUAAAUGCAAUUGUGAGGAACUGUCCAAAAACGUUUGCAACAUUUAUAGAUUUAAAAAAGGCAUUUGACUUUGAUGAUAGAAAUGUGCUAAUGUACAAGCUUCUUUUAAAUAAAAAUCGAUUGGAAAAUGUAUAACUCUAUCAAAAACAUCUAUGUUAAUACUACCUCUUGUAUUCGUUUGAAUGAUACUUUGACGGUUUGGUUUAGUUGUAAUUCCAGUGUUCGACAAGGCGAUAAUCUUUCGCCGACGCUUUUCUCAAUUUUCAUUAAUGAUUUAGUACUGGAAGUUAAAGACCUUGACAUUGGUGUAAGCAAAGGAACUCAAAUGUAUCGAUACUGUUGUAUGCUGAAGAUAUAGUGUUUAUUUUACCAUUUAAAUCAGAUUAUAAAUGUGAAACUCGUGCUGAACGUUCUAUACUGGCACAAUUUAGAUACAGCAUACUUCCUUUGAGGAUCGAACCGGGCGGUUCGUCGGAGAAGCAGAAGCUGACCGUAUUUGAAAAAUGUGUGACUCACGUUAUGUCGAAAAUGAACGCCACUUCCCUUCCGAGAUUUAAGAAAUCAACUUAUAUUGGAUAUAGAACACACUUAUGAAGACAUUUCUAAAGAUGAACAAUUUAAACUGCUUAUCUGCAAAUAUCCUAGAAAUUUUUUAACAAUGCAUUUAAUAAGAGAAAAAACUUUUGUAUAGAAACAAUCAAAAUAGAAUUAUAAUUUUGUCCGCUGUUAAAUGAUUAUUAUUUUUUAUGUAUAAAUGCUUAAAGUGACUUAAAGGUCCAAAGGGCCUGUUGAUGAUAUAUGUAAUUACAACUGCUUAUUGAAAUAUUGUAUAUUGUCACAAAAUACAUGUCACUAUAAAAACAAUUUGGUAUUGGUAUUGUAUUGAAGGAUCGCAAAAAUUUGCGAGUUUCGAAGGAGAAAGGAGAUUGUUGUCAUCCAGUAUAGUUAUUUGGAUGGAGAGUUGUCUCAUUGGCACUUACACCACAUCUUCCUAUAUCUAGUUGAUGAAAUUAAUCUUGUCUGCUUAUUUAAUGAAUGGCUAUUAUUUUAUUUUGAAUUUAUUGAACCAUAAAAUUAAUUUUUAACUCUUAACAUUGAAUAAUCCGCGAACAAUAAAAUUAAUUUUUGACUCUUCACAUUGAAUUAUCCGCGAAGCGGAUUAUGUGAAAUAUGAAGAGUAAAAUAAUUAUUUUAUGGUUCAAUAAAUUCAAAAUAAAUAAUAGCCAUAAUGAUUCAUUAUAAAUAAAUUUCUAUCAAAAAUAAGGCCCAAAGAUCUUUUUAUAUUAUCUAUAUGAACAAUAACAACGUACACACAUGUUGGCGUAUGAAACACAACGUCAGAGUGGGCGUGUCCCAAUAAAAUUGACACCAUUGAAAAUAACAGAAAUACUUUUAACCAAUCAGAAGUUAAGGCAGUAAAUACACCAAUUUUAUUUAUUUAGCAAUGAAGGCAACAACGGAUAUGUUGCCCGACUCUCUAUAAAAGGCAAAGAAUUGAAAAAAAAGUCUGGUUUACAAACCCUAUAUUCGUAGUCGAAAAUAUAAAAUGAAGACAUCUGUAUGAUUGAUAGAGUGUGUACAUCUACGGACAUUCAAACUCUGGUUAUUCUAGACAAUAAACAGAUACUAGAGUGUAGGUAUACCGGCCCAAAAUAUGUAAUUCUUGAACACAUGUUUCUUUGUUUUGGAAUGGUAUGUGACAAGUAUGGCCAUAUUUUGCUAGGUGAUUAUCGCCAUUUUCAGAUUCAGAUGCUUCAUAAGGAUGGAACUUUCAUAGAUUUCAUAUUAGAUUCCCAUAAGGAAUACAAUUUCCGUUUUAUAUACAAAUAACAAAUGACAUGAUCUUGUGGAUAUGCAACGAAGAGGGAAGGACAGUUACAACGUUCAAGUUCUGCUUUUUAACACAAAGAAGUUAAAUUGUGUAUCAGUUCUGGUUUUUUUUUUAAUAUGUUACAUAACAAUCAAGUUCAAGUGGACGUUAUGUGUGUUCUUUAAAUCAUGAUCAACCCUACCAUAUUCUCCUGGUGUCUGUCGUCAACCAGACGUUUGUAAUUGAGUGGUUAUUGUUGGUUGCUCUCUCCAAGUUAAGUUUCUCGUUAAUUGUUUAGUGUUUAUUUUAGCAUGAACUAUGCAGUUGCUCUAAUUGUUUGAUUAUCAGGUAUGACACAUGUCACAUUUUGACUUGGUAAAGGCUUUUUUCCUAUGUUGAAAAGGGUGGAUUUAACCUGGUUUUAUAUUAUAACUACAUAAACCUCUCACUCAUAUGAUUGCCGCAUCAAAUAAAUAGCCAUAAGCUGGUGGACAUCUAAUGCAGAGUAUAUAGGACAAUCACUGUACUGCCUUAAAAUAAACAAAUUAAAAUCUGUUUAAAAAUCACGUCUAUCAAGACACGCUUACUCGUCGAGGUUCAACGGACAUUUAAAUCUGUAACUGAAUAUUAUAAGUUGAUCUCUCUCAAUAAAUCAUCUCUCCAUGGUGUUUAUGCCUAACGAUUUAUCCCUUUAGAAAAUGGUUUAAUUCUAUUUGGAUUUACCUAGUAUAUUUGAACCGUAUAUUGCAUUUUGGUGCGCUGAUACAAAUUUUACAAUUGCGUUACUUUGUUUUUCGUUCUUGUUGAUGUAUGUUAGCUUUUGAUUUUGCCAUUUGGUAAAGUUUUUUCCUUUAAAAUUGUUCAUGGAGUGCGUUACUUUUGUUAUUUUUCUUUAUUUCAAAAUCUUGUCAUUGCAAAUAAUUAAAAAUGAAAUCGUCCCCCGAGCUACAAAAACAGUUAAGACGUGAAAUAUUCAUUGUACCUUUGAUAAUGUAUAAAUAAACAGUAGUAUGCCGGUGUUUAACGGGUGUCGCAUGUGGAGCAGGAUCUACUUACCCUUCCGGAGCACCUGAGAUCACCCCUAGUUUUUGGUGGGGUUCGUGUCUUGUUUGUCAUGUAAUCGUUAGCUUUUGAAAAUCAACUAUUGCGAACAUUUUGUAAAGUUUUUAAAACCGAUCUCAACUUAAAAUUGUUUAGUUUCUGAGAGAAAUUGGAUGGUGCGUUAGAACUGUUUGUUCAAAUACAAAUUUUCUUUAGUAGUAUCAAAAUACUUGUCAUAUGAAACUAUAAAUGCAACAAGUUAAAUAAUGAAAUCCGGGUCCUCAACGAGCUACAACAGUAACAGUUUUAAGACGUGAAAAUAUUCAUUGUGCUUUGGAUAGUGUAUAUAAACAGUAAGAUAGGCCCAAAAUAUUGUUUGUUUGCCCUUUUCCGACCCUAUGUUUUGAAACAGGGUAGGUAGGUAGGUAAAAUAUUUUAUUUUUUUCCCCAAAAAAAUAACUUGGCUCGGUAUAUUAUUUGUCAUGGGUAGGCAGGUAGGUAAAAUAUUUUAUUUUAUAGAUACAAAAUCUGCAUAAUGUCAUUUUUUUGUCCGUUUUGUUUUUGCAAAUAAGUUUUCCGCUGGGACUAUUAGUUUUGAAAAAAAAAAUAUAUAAGAGAUAACUUUGUACUGGUAAGAUAAUGUCCGGGCAGACAUAUAUUACUAGUAGAAAAAGUCCCUAGAGUGUUACAAAUAAAUUUCGUGUGUGCCUUUUUUUCCAAUAAAAAUGCUAUAAGACUUAAAACUCAAUUGUCACGUAUUUUGCAUCACAUUUAUAAAUGAUCUGUAUGGAAAACUUGGCGAUUUUACUGCCAGAUAUUCUCCACUUUACAGGGUUUUGUCACUUUUGGUUCAUGUCAGAUAUAAAUAAUUUAGCGGCAUCGUUAACAUAAUCAUUCUGAUAUGCGGAUCACAAAAGGCCAUCCCUACAUAGAAUACAACGUCCGUUUACAAAUUAGUUUGUACACACGUUAAUACUUUUGUAUCAAACGAACUUUUUUGUAAAUGAACCCUGCUCUUUAAGUUUAAAGGUACAGAGUAACGUACUUCAUAUCAUGAUUUCAGAAAGCGUUCAACAUCGAUUUCAAACAAAUGCUUUGAAACUUCAAAUGCAAGUGUUCAUGUCAAACGCUCAGGUGAUACCAAACGGACUGGACCUUAUACGUAAAGAUAAAACCCGAGGAUUCCGGUAAAAAAGUUUUGAGCGGGAAAUACAAAUAUAAGAUUUUUGGUAGGAACGAAAAAAUAAAAUAAAAUAAAAUCUUGCUGGUAAAUACAAAUAAAAGAUUUUCAGGCGGAACGAAUUGAUAGGGUCGGUCGGUAAAGGGCAAACAAACAAUAUUUUAAAUUUAAGCCUUAAUAUAUGUUUGAGAGAAAUCAAAUCCGGGUUACAAAUUAAAACCGAUUGAAAAGCCUCAACUAUAAGAGGAAAAUAACGGAACAACAGGAGAACUAUAGUGCAACAAAAACAAACGCAAACAUUCAUAGAAACGAUAUUUUGGGUAAAACCUGCCAUAUAUCUGACUAAAGUAAAAACAAAAUUGGGCGGGUAAACCUACAACCUCCCGCUUUAAACAAUUUGAAAAGAAUUAAUCGUCAAAAUAACAACACCACGCGCGAGAAAUAUAGCACAAACACACGCAUUAAUAAUAACAUAGAAACGCACACAAACAAAUAAUAUGACAGUCGUCACAACAUGCAAACCGCAGAACAACAACGAACCUAAUUCUUUUAGAGUACCUGAUGCCAUCCCAUUUUUUAAUUUUUAGGGGAUCCAUGUGCUAAUUUUAAUUGAAGUGAUUUGAAGACUACUAUUUGUCUUUGCGUCGGUUUUUCCAUUAUAAUGUCGGUUACUCCUCGUGUUGUGAAUAUUGCUUUUUCCUUUAGAAAGUAAUCACUACCUUUCAUUUUAAUCUUUUUCUUAUGACUAUUUGCUUAGUCAGGUUUUUCUACUCUCAGGUAUGUAUGUUGAUAAAAUAGAGUCAACAGUAAUUUAUCGAUGAUCAUAUCUCAUAAGGCAAAAAAAGGGGUUAAACAAAAUCUGAGGAAAUCCCAUUGAAACACAUAGAAUGGUCAUUCAACAGUCCAUUGGCAAUAGUAUAUGAAACACUUCAUUUAAAUUGAAGAAUGAGUGACACGCGUCCCUUAAAAAUUGAAGUAAAUCUGACAUUCAAGUUUUUCGACUCAUGUUUCAUGGUAGCUCUUAAUGACCAGUUGUACGAAAUAAAAUUAACGGAGUUACGAUACCGGUUUUAGUGCGAAAGAUGUAAUGCGAUUUGAAAGUAAGUUUCCUACAGUAAAACUGCACACACGGAUUGAAAUCGUAUUUCAAGUGAGAGGUUUAACUACAAAACCAGGUUUAAUCCGCCACCUACUUAAGAAAAUGCCUGUAUCAAGUCAGUUUUAUUUCCAUUCGUUUAAGGUGUUUGAGCUUUUGAUUUUGCUAUUUGAUUAGGAACUUUCCGUUUUGAAUUUUCCUCAGCGUUCGGUAUUUUUGUGAUUUUACUUUUUACGUAUACCGACACUGAAGGGGAAAAAUUUAAAACCCUGAUAUUUUGGUAUUUGUCAUCAAAGUUAUACAUGAUGACAUUCUUCUAUUCAAAAGACAUUUCAAUGCUUUAGAAUAACGAAUUGGUACAUUCAAAUGAAGCAUAUUGAUUAAAUGUUUUAAUUCAAUAAAAAUAUAUGAAAAUAUAACAAUUUGUAGAUAUGUAUAUGAUAAUAGGUUUCACAUAAAAUAUAACAUUGUGAAUGCUAUUUAUCAACAAUAAAGUUAUUUUAUCACAGUGAGAAAUAUGUAUUUAUUAAUAAAUAAAAAUUAAAAAGCAAUGUUAAAAUAUAUAUCAAAUUGUUGUUGGUUUCAAAGUCAUAGAAGUAUAUCAUUGUGUUAUUGCAAUUCUUUGAAGCAUCCUAAUGGAAAGUGCAUUUAAAUUGAAGUUGCUGCAUAAUUAAGGCAACGUUGUAUAAUUCUUAAUAAUUAUCACUCUUGGAUAUCCAAAAGGUCUAUCAUGAGUUUAAAUGAUAAAUGUGAUGUGUGUUUGUUAAGGGCAUUGUAAACUUUGUUCCUGUUUUUUGCUUUUUAUUUGAAUUGCUUCCCUCUCUAAAUUGUUAAACAUGAUAUAUAUCAUUUUCAAGAAACAGACUUAAAACGUGUAAUUUUUCGUAGUCAAGCAUACAUAGAAAAAUAAUUGUAUGUGAUGUCAAAGUAUUAAUUUGAAAAAUGUAAGUAAAUGAUCAUUGAGGUGUAGUCAUCUUUAAUGAUAAUCCUAUAAACCGGAAAAACUGCAAAAAUAGACUUGUUUUGUUCACUACUACAGUUCAGGCUAAUUUUCUUCUGCAUAUGAUUUGAAGCCCUCUCAAUAUUGAAAAUACACAAUAGACUGCCUAAUUUUACCUAGUUGUUGUUUAGUUCUUUGUUUUUUAAGGAAAACAAAUCAUACAAAAAGGUGGACAUAGGGUCUCGAAAUUGUUUCGCUCACUCUUACAAUGAAUGGUACAAAAGGACAAAACCAAUCACGUGAUAUGAAGUAUAUGAGUCAAAAUCAAUAUGAAUGUAAAUAUUCAUUAUAAAAUGAUAAAUAAGAUUAACAUACUUUGUAUUUUUUUCUUCAACGUAGAAAACAAGUAAAACAAUAACAUUUAAAUGAAUCUUCAUUUAUAAAAAAUCAAACGUAAUACAUUGCAUAGUUCAAUUGCUUUUUAUAUAACCUUACGAAUAUACGUAAGCCAUGAUUGGCACUCUA
rnacentral:lncRNA from 1 species